rnacentral:misc_RNA from 1 species
UCUGUACUCUACGGGAAUAGAAUUUUCACUCAUGUCCCUGUACCAGCAUAUACUGGAUAGAACAAACAGGAUUCUCCUGUUUAAAUUCCUGGAAUGGUUCAAGCCCAUUUCCGCAUGACAGUACAGUUUGAAACGACUCAUAGACACGCAUGGGAUUGAAAAUAGGCCCAUCAAGACUCAGCCCAACAUCAAAACCAUGUUCAUC